CAACCGUCCGCUAAGGCGCACGGCAUAACGACAAUAACGAAAAGUUCCUCUUUGACGGGCCAGUAGCGAUACUGGCCUUCUUUUU
rfam:Cronobacter sakazakii ATCC BAA-894, complete genome.